CCUACGGGUGGCAGCAGUAGGGAAUAUUGCUCAAUGGGGGAAACCCUGAAGCAGCAACGCCGCGUGGAGGAUGAAGGUUUUCGGAUUGUAAACUCCUUUUUUUAGAGAAGAUACUGACGGUAUCUAACGCAUAAGCACCGGCUAACUCCGUGCCAGCAGCCGCGGUCAUACGGAGGGUGCAAGCGUUACUCGGAAUCACUGGGCGUAAAGAGCGCGUAGGCGGGAUAGCAAGUCAGAUGUGAAAUCCUAUGGCUUAACCAUAGAACUGCAUUUGAAACUGUUAUUCUAGAGUAUGGGAGAGGUAGGUGGAAUUCGUGGUGUAGGGGUAAAAUCCGUAGAGAUCAAGAGGAAUACUCAUUGCGAAGGCGACCUGCUAGAACAUAACUGACGCUGAUGCGCGAAAGCGUGGGGAGCAAACAGGAUUAGAUACCCGGGUAGUC
rnacentral:rRNA from 1 species